rnacentral:rRNA from 1 species
GACGAACGCUGGCGGCGUGCCUAACACAUGCAAGUCGAACGGGGUAACUCCUUCGGGGGUUACUUAGUGGCGAACGGGUGAGUAACGCGUGAGGAACCUGCCUCUCAGUGGGGGACAACAGUUGGAAACGACUGCUAAUACCGCAUAAUGUAGCGAGACCGCAUGCUCUUGCUACCAAAGCUUUAUGUGCUGAGAGAUGGCGCCGCGUCUGAUUAGCUAGUUGGUGAGGUAACGGCCCACCAAGGCGACGAUCAGUAGCCGGUCUGAGAGGAUGAACGGCCACAUUGGGACUGAGAUACGGCCCAGACUCCUACGGGAGGCAGCAGUGGGGAAUAUUGGGCAAUGGGGGAAACCCUGACCCAGCAACGCCGCGUGAAGGAAGAAGGCCCUCGGGUUGUAAACUUCUUUUACCAGGGACGAAGAACGUGACGGUACCUGGAGAAAAAGCCACGGCUAACUACGUGCCAGCAGCCGCAGUAACAC